AUUGAACGCUGGCGGCAUGCCUUACACAUGCAAGUCGAACGGCAGCACGGGAGCAAUCCUGGUGGCGAGUGGCGAACGGGUGAGUAAUAUAUCGGAACGUGCCCAGUCGUGGGGGAUAACGCAGCGAAAGCUGUGCUAAUACCGCAUACGAUCUCUGGAUGAAAGCGGGGGACCGUAAGGCCUCGCGCGAUUGGAGCGGCCGAUAUCAGAUUAGCUAGUUGGUGGGGUAAAAGCCCACCAAGGCGACGAUCUGUAGCUGGUCUGAGAGGACGACCAGCCACACUGGAACUGAGACACGGUCCAGACUCCUACGGGAGGCAGCAGUGGGGAAUGUUGGACAAUGGGCGCAAGCCUGAUCCAGCAAUGCCGCGUGCAGGAUGAAGGCCUUCGGGUUGUAAACUGCUUUUGUACGGAACGAAACGGCGAGCUCUAAUAAAGUUUGCUAAUGACGGUACCGUAAGAAUAAGCACCGGCUAACUACGUGCCAGCAGCCGCGGUAA
rnacentral:rRNA from 1 species